UACGUAGGGUGCAAGCGUUACUCGGAUUUAUUGGGCGUAAAGCGCAUGUAGGCGGUUUUGUAAGUUUGAUGUGAAAGCCCUGGACUCAAUUCAGGAACUGCAUUGAAUACUGCAAGGCUAGAGUAUGAGAGAGGUAGGCGGAAUUCUUGGUGUAGAGGUGAAAUUCGUAGAUAUCAAGAGGAACAACAGAAGCGAAGGCGGCUUACUGGAUCAUAACUGACGCUGAGAUGCGACAGUGUGGGGAGCAAACAGG
rnacentral:rRNA from 1 species